rnacentral:rRNA from 2 species
AAAUUGAAGAGUUUGAUCAUGGCUCAGAUUGAACGCUGGCGGCAGGCCUAACACAUGCAAGUCGAACGGUAACAGGAAGCAGCUUGCUGUUUCGCUGACGAGUGGCGGACGGGUGAGUAAUGUCUGGGAAACUGCCUGAUGGAGGGGGAUAACUACUGGAAACGGUAGCUAAUACCGCAUAACGUCGCAAGACCAAAGAGGGGGACCUUCGGGCCUCUUGCCAUCGGAUGUGCCCAGAUGGGAUUAGCUAGUAGG